GUUAGGGUAGAUUUGGUUAGGUUAAGGUAGAUUGGGAUGGGUUAGGGUGGAUUGGGAUGGGCUAGGGUAGAUCAGGUUGGGUUAGGGUAGAUUGGGAUGGGUUAGGGUAGAUUGGAUUUAGUUGAGGUGGGUACUUAGGUUGAGUUGGGUUCUUGAUCAUCUUCCUUUUACAUCUUUGUUUUUUUUAUUGAAGCAAAAAAUAAUCUGUCAUCCGACACCUAUCACCAAUGUGAAAAAUUCAUUGCCCCUUUAAAAUCUGGUUCUCACUUUUAGCAGUAGUAACUGCAACCAAAUGCUUCUGAUAACUGAGAUCAGUCUUUCACUUCUAGGACUAGGAUUUACUCCUAUGCUUUGGAUCAUUGUCUUGCUGCAUGAUCCAGUUGUGUUUGAGUUUCAAAUUACAGACUGAAGACCGGACGUUCUCCUUUAGGAUUUUCUGGUAGAGAGGCAAGUUGCCCAGGCCCUGAAGCAGAAAAGCAUCCCCACACCAUCACACUUCCACCACCAUGCUUGACCAUAGGUAUGAUGUUCUUUCUGUGGAGUUUGAUGUUUGGUUUACGCCAGAUGUAACGCAACACCCGUCCUCCAAACAGUUCCACUUUCGACUCAUCAAUCCACUUAACAUUUUCCCAAAAGGUUUGAGGAUCAUCAAGGUGUGUUUUGGCAAAAUUCAGACGAGCCUUAAUGUUCUUCUGGGUUAGCAGUGGUUUUCACCUCACCACUCUUCCAUGGACGCCAUUUUUGCCCCAGUGUCUUUCUGAUAGUGGAGUCAUGAACAGUGACCUUUAUUGAUGCAAGAGAGGCAUGAAAUUCCUUUGAUGUUGUCCUUGGCUCUUUGUGACUUCCUGGAUGAGUCGUCACUGUGCUCCUGGAGGAAUUUUGGAAGGUCGGCCACUUCUGGGAAGGUUCACUACUGUGCUGAGUUUUUCCAUUUGGAGAUAACGGCUGUCACUGUAGUUCUUUGGAGUCCCAGAGCCUUUGAAAUAGCUUUGUAACCCUUCCCAGACUGAUGCAUUUCAAUCACCUUCUUCCUCAUCAUUUCUGGAAUUUCUUUCAAUUUUGGCGUAGUGUGUUACUGAGUAAGACCUUUUAACCAACUCCAUACUGUUGAAAAAGUUGUAUUUAAGUGUUGAUGUGAUUGAACAGGGUUUGCAGUAAUCAGGCCUGGUUGUGUCUAGUCCAGCUGAACUCCAUUAUGAAUGCAGUUUCCUAGAUUUGCGGAAUUAGUAACUACGGGAGCAAAUACAUUUGCACACAGGCUCAGUUGGUAUGGACAACUUUUUUUUU
ensembl:lncRNA